UACAUGUGGGGCAAGCGUUGUUCGGAAUUACUGGGUGUAAAGCGCACGUAGGCGGUUUCUUAAGUCGGUGGUGAAAUCCUGGAGCUCAACUCCAGAACUGCCUUCGAUACUGGAGAGCUUGAGUCCGGGGAGAGGUGAGUGGAACUGGCGAGUGUAGAGGUGAAAAUUCGUAGAUAUUCGCAAGAACACCAGUGGCGAAGGCGGCUCACUGGCCCGGUACUGACGC
rnacentral:rRNA from 1 species